AACGAACGCUGGCGGCAGGCUUAACACAUGCAAGUCGAGCGCCCCGCAAGGGGAUCGGCAGACGGGUGAUUAACGCGUGGGAAUCUACCCAUCUCUACGGGAUAACGCAUGGAAACGUGUUAUAAUACCGUAUACGUCAUUCGGGAUAAGGAUUUAUCGGAGAUGGAUGAGCCCGCGUUGGAUUAGCGAGUUGGUGGGGUAAAGGCCUACCAAGGCGACGAUCGAUAGCGGGUCUGAGAGGAUGAGCAGCCACACUGGGAGUGAGACACGGCCCAGACUCCUACGGGAGGCAGGAGUGGGGAAUAUUGGACAAUGGGCGCAAGCAUGAUCCAGCCAUGCCUCGUGAGUGAUGAAGGCCCUAGGGUUGUAAAGCUCUUUCACCGGUGAAGAUAAUGACGGUAACCGGAGAAGAAGCCCCGGCUAACUUCGUGCCAGCCGCCGCCGUAACAC
rnacentral:rRNA from 1 species